rnacentral:misc_RNA from 1 species
GAAAGCUGCUGCUGCUACUCGUAUGCCAUGUAGAUCGUCGUUGUUCUUGAUGUAUGUAUCUUUGGGCAAUAGGAAACCUCCUCAUUAUGAUUGACAUAGGAUAAAUCUGCAGGCCUCAUGCAAAGAAGCAUCGUAGGGCUCGUAUUCCAUAACAUAGCUGUGGGGAAGCUUCAAGUGCCCGAAGCUCUGGUGGUCAAAAUACAUGAAUGGCAUCACUCAUCAUCUUCAUUUCAUGGUGUGUCCUCUGAUAAUCAAUAAAAGCCUGUUUUGAUCUACUAAUACAUAUAUGAUUGUUGUUUGAGUAUACUAUUAAGAACAACUGAAUUCUACAAAAAGACUCUUAUUCUAUGAAAGGCCGGGUAUGAUGUUGCGAGGGAGUUGUUGUCUCCAAGUAAAGGAUAUGGUGCUCUAGGAGGCUGGCUUAAUUUUUGGUGGAGCGCCUGUAGAGAUGUUGAGAUUGAUUGAUGGAGAGAGGUGUAAGCAUUGAUGGGCACUGUGGAGUUUAUAUUGGUGUAUUGAAAGACAGUAUUCAUGGGUGUUGGAGUGCUCUUUUGCUGCGAAUUGUUGGGGUGCUGCAAUACCAUUGCAUUAAUAUUUGGAUUAUGUCUGUUUUAUGGUUUAUAAAAGACUUAUUUCUUUGAUAUUUAUGGUUUUUUCUUUUAACAAUAACUUCUUCAAAAAUUGAUCUUUCUGUGAGUGCGAUUAACCUUAUAAUUGUACAAAACACUUGUUAAUUUUGUGAUGAUAUUUUUCUUUUUG